rnacentral:lncRNA from 1 species
CUGAAUUCCACUUUAUCACUAAUUAUAUUCGGUGUUACAGUUUCCACCAGAGUUGGUCGAGAAGAUGGAUGGAAAGAAGAAAGCCUACCCUGAACACAUACUGGGAUUACUGCGCUUCAUCCGAAACCUUCAUUGGCACUAUGCCGAUGAUGAAGACAAAGUUAAAGUGAUGGAGCUGUUUCCUGAUCUCUUCGGAUGUGUUUACAAGUUUGCCAAGAGCCAAGGUUGGAAUUCAGAGAUCCCUCUGAAGGAAAUGUUUCGGAGAGAAGACAUCGCCACAAGGUUCACAAUGCUGUCCACAAAUGAGGAGCACCCGGGUGUCCCAGUACAAGAGUCUCAACCAAGCACAACCAGUUCUGGUGUCAAAGAAUACCAUUAGUUGUAGUGUCCUGCCCAACCCCAUAGCAAGGCUUCAGCAGCACUGCACAAAGAUAGUCCAAGAGGCCUUUUCACUCCUGAUAUCAUGAGACCUAAAAGGAAAUGUUACGAAUAACAUUAAUGGUGUCUCUUUUCUACUGAAGUGUCCCAAUAAGACCUGACAGUGAACCAGCAUGAACAAUACCAGGACCCUGAAACUGAAGCAGCUAAAUGGAAUUCAGUCAUGAUUCAUUUUAUUAGUCGCUCCUGUGCUUUUACUUACUGUCAAAUAAACCUGUAAAAUUUUGCAUAUGUGUUCUACAUAAUAACUAUUUUCAAAAGACUGACAUUAACAGUAAGUAAUUAGAAAGAUAAUGUAAAAGUACAAUUCAAAGGACUUUCUCCUCACUUGUUAUGGUAGAGAAGUUGUACUUUUUAAGAUUGUUUACGUUUACAUGAAAAUCAUUAUAAUCAGGAACUCUUCUUAUAUUUUGCUACAUUUAUCUGACAAUUUUAGUUAUAUCUUACAAACCCUACAAGUCAUGUCAUAUGAACAAAAAACAAUGUUGUGUUAGAGUUGGACCAGCCUACCAUGUGGGUUGCAAAAUUAUAGUUCUUUUCACUGCUUGGUGUGUCAAUAUUGCCUGAAAAGACCCUGAAGAUGACAAUAGUUAAGUUUUUUCUAUCAUUUUACAAUUUUGUGUAUUUUGUGUAUACUACAUUAUGUGAGUCAUUUUACUUUCUUGAUUAUCCUGUCUCGUUAACCGUUCUGCCAUAGUCUCUCACAUGUACUGCCAUUUCAAAAAGAUUGCAAGAGAAACAAAGAGGUUUGGUUCUGUUGUUUGAAAACAUUGAAUUCUGACUUACAACCUACAAAAUGUACAUAAAACAAAGACUGCAAUUCCUGUUUGUCACACAAAUAUCUGAAUGGAUCUUUGUGCUUGCAUUGAAAUGUUCUUUUAUAGAAAUGUUUAAAACUCAGAAGGUUAAUUGAAUAGUAUUGAAAAUAUAUAUGUAUUUCCACAACUUGAAUAAAUAUAAGAG